CGGGCAACAGCGUCCUAGAGACGCCGAGUGGGCUGGGCUUCUGCGGCCUCGGGCCCUGGGGUCCGCGCUUAGAAGUGCGUCGGCGCUCCGAAGGGGCCCAGCGAGGCGGAGGGUUGAGAAAGGGCCGGGCUGUCCACCUCUUCCUGUGCAGAGAUCUCUACAGCGCCCAUGCUGUGACCCCUGCAGCUGAGUGGCACAUGGAGACAGAACCAGCUCCAGGAGGGUGCUCAGGAGUCUGGCGCCCGCCCAGAGCAGGAAUCCAGUGGGACGCCAUUGGCUGUUAACCAGACAGUCGCUUUAAUAAAGCCUCUUUACAGGUAUCGAGUGAAUGUUUAAGGGUUUUAACGUGCAAAAUGGCAGUUGUACCAGAUUGGCAUACUUUGUAUCCUCACACACAAAAAUUCACGCAUUUCAGACCCCACUCUUCACCAUGUAGAGUGUAUUCAAGGAAUGGUUUCCAGAAUGUGUUCAGACC